GGAAUUGAAAUCUGAAGACAUGGUGAUUUUUACCCAAUGUGUUAUGCCCUUGAGCACGAAGAGCUUUUGAACUCUGAGGUUCAGGACCACGCGUGCUUCUCACAUUUAUUGAGACAGAGAGUAUUAAUCAAAAGCGGUUCAAGUUUCCACAAUGAGCUAUACAUCAUCUAAACUCACAUGGAUAUACCAGGUCUGCCUUUCCCUACAAUUUAAGCCUUUGUUUUGGCAGGUAUCAAUCACCUGGUGCUAAACUUGGUGCUUAAUGAUCAACUAGAACAAAGUUUCAUAGCCUUCCAGAUUUGUCAAAUCUACAAUAACAUGAUAAUUCCUGUUAGACAUGUUAUUCUACUGGUACAUGUCAUAUAACGAAAUUCUUGUAUUUUGGAAGGAGAAAACAUUGAGUGGAGCAAUUAUGCAAUUCAAGUGGCAUGGUCAUCAAAGCUUUUGUUUUUUCUUAAUCGUGACAUGUGUUAAUAUUGUGCAAAUCAUAAUAUCAUUUUUUAGGUUUGCAAAUAAAAUUAACCUGAAUAAAGUAUUUUAAACUUAGUGAGCAUAAUAGUGUUUUGUAGUGUGAGGAUAAUAAGGUGAAGUGAGGCUGCUGCUCGCCGGUGGCUCGCCGGCCAUCCGAGAGCCGGAAUUGCGGCCCCACGCGAGGGAAAGAUCAGCGUUGCUGCAACCACGGCAGGACACCCAGCAUGCGCGUACCAUACAGGCAGCAUCAGCCUCACUUCACCUUGGAUGACAUUGCGAUUAUGAAAUAUUCAGUCAUUCUCCUUGGGUCUACCUGUUGGACACUUGGACCUACUCAUGUGUUUGAGAUGAUUGUGCAGAAAAGCUGAAAAAGGGGAUAAAAUUCUAUGUGAGAGAUGACCGCUAAAGGAGUGCGACGCCACCAUCCUGUGCCACAAACCAUACCAAGAAUGGCGGGUUAUGGAUAGAGUUCAUUUGAUCCAUCUGAUAAAAAUACCAAUUGGGGAAUAAGCAUGAAAAGUAAUCAACCACUCUUUCCGCAGUGGAGUUCGGGUAUGCCUGCUCCUCUAUUUAUUUGACUAUUGUUAGAUUGGUUCAUCCUGGUAUGACAUGUUAAUGAAGGUGUUGUUUCAUUCCUCAUACGAUCUGGAUACCUUUCAAUUGAUUAGUUCUUCUUUUGGAUUACUCUAUAUUAAUUCCCUAUGUGUAUCUUUAUUAUGUUCCUCAAGACUGAGUAAGAAAAUUAUUUUGUUGAUAUUAAUUUCAAGGGAACAUGGUACCCUACGACACAGGAAGAUUACUGAAAAUCAGUUCAAAAUCUAAUCUUCUCUGUUGUCUGUACUGCAGCCGUGAUGAUCAGAAGUUUAGGACCACACUGUAGUAAAAAAAAAGGAAUGAUCUUCGUAAGCUACACCCUUUUGAUCCCAAUCUUACCUUUUUUAAAUUAGUUUUGUUAGUGCUUCCAUUACUUUCUGUUAAAAUAUGCUUAAUGGGCUAGAGACUGUAUAUUUUCAGAAAGUUAUAGUGUGUGGUAUGUUUGCUGAACUUGUGAUGACGGUUCUUCAGGCAGGACUUUCGUCCCUAUAUUUUAACUUUGAACAUCAUUAUAUUUAGACAAAUGAUGUGUUUACUGAAUUAUCGUUGUUUAAUUUUUGAAGUUAUGCCUUUCGUAAUAUUGCAUUGUAGAUAGACAAAAAGAUAUAGGUAUUAAAUUUUGUGGCUCUAGCAUAAAUGUUUAUCACCACGGUGACAUUUGUUUUUCAAUUUAGAUAAGAAAAAAGAGAUAAGUACUGAACAGAGAGUAGAGAGGAUAAGAGCAUUGUAGUUCAGCGUGGUUCAUGCCAAAGACUGUGAUACAUAUAAUUUCUUAGGAUAGUGCAAAUUCAUUGAUGAUGCAGCGGAAGUAACACAAGUUCUGCUAGAAUUUCUCUCACAUAACAUGCAUAGAGGUGAGUUUUGCAUAAUCCAUCUCAGUAACAAGCUUGCAUUGAGUUAUUCUUUUCAAGAAGCUUACCAUGCACAACUACAGGAUACUUGUAGUUCUCAGUGGCAAUUGAUAGCUACAUUCUUCAAUGGGAGACCUAGCAUGCCUUGAGUACAACAAUACAUGAUCUUCUGGCAACAAACUGUUCAUGAUUGACGCAUAAUAUGUCCUCUGUCCGCAUUUUAAUUAUUUAUAUUAAUAUUUCUGGUUAUCACUGAAGAGUUGAAAUGGAUUUGAUGAGGGAAGUCUGCAAUGCAGACUGUGUUAAGUGUACCCGCUCCAGAUUUCAUCAACAGUAAAUGGUCCACUCCUAUUGGCAAGUGCCUUCUUGUACUCUUCUGACCCAGAUUUGGCAUGUUUUUCAUUUUCUACUAUCAUCGCGUAGUUGCACAAAAAUACGUAAGAGCAUGGCUCAAAACCCACAGAGAGGCACAACUUUGAAAUGGUUUUAUUUAAACAAUGAAACAAUGUUAUUUGACUGAAAAUCUGUAGUAUAUUUUGAUUAUGGGGACACAGCUGAAAUGUAUACACCAAGAAAACAUAACUCUCUUCAGUUGAAUUUUAAAUUCAUGUUGUGGAAAUCAAAUCCAUUUCAAAUUCCAUGAUUUCGGCUAGAAUGAUUUCGGUUAUGUCCCGUACAAGGAGAUUAUCUUAUAGGACAGGCAUAUCAGCCCCCAUUCAGACAUAGCAGAUAUUCAACAGAAGAAGUUCCUCCACUGCUACUGGCCAAACUCUAAGCAAAAAGACCUUCCACUUUCCUUGCUGAUGGUGAGCAACUCAAAGAUGGCUACAAGGUUACACUUAAUAUUUACUCUCUGAAUAACAUAUUAUUUAUGUGACCAAUACAUGUAUAAAUGCCUUGAGAGAACAUGUAUAUAUAGCUGCAUAUAUGUUAUAUCUGAACAAUGGCAGAUUUGACCAUUAAUUACAUGUAUAUACUUGCUAGGAGAGAACGUGUAUAGCUUUCAGUUAAGCUUUUCGAUCAUUAAGCUGUUACUUUCUCAUCUUAUUUCUAGGUAGAAACAUUAUUGGUGUUCUUUAGCUUAAUUUUGAAACAUGAACACCAUCA